UGACUGUCUGUCCUGGGUUCACAGACACUGCUGAGGGCUGAGUCACUUCAGAAGAGGCCACCAAACCUGUAAGAGAGGACAGGAGAGGGAAUUCUGACAACACAUCAGUCCUGCUGCCCAAGUUACGACCUUGUGAGAAACGUCACAUUGGACCUGAACUGGCUAUUCAUUCGAGUUAAUGCAAACAGUGCGAUCCUUCAUCAGUUGCUCUCACACGUCCGUAGGCGGGACCACAGCAGUGAGGGGUCAGGUGCUAAUUUCUCUCCUCAAGGCCCAGCUCUUCUAACAGGUCCAUCUGGUGUCCAGAUUGGGACUUGUCCUUUCCGCUGCAGGACAAGUGUGACUUCUGAUUGUGUGUGUGAGCUCUGGGGUCUCUGUAUAGUUCUCCUUGGCCUCGGGGGGUUUCAUCUUGAAUUGUGGUGAUCAGAUUCUCUAACUCAGGCAGUGAGACCCCCUGGGGGCACAUGGGGGAUGGAGAACCAGGUGUACGAGGGUUAGGGGUGAUCUUUCAGGAGAAAAUGUGAGAGGCAAGGGUGGGGACCAACAAUGUGAUGACAAUGGACUCAGACAGGAGGUCCUGUAAGGCCAUUGUGACCCUCAGCCCCCAUCUGAGAGUGGCAGGACAUUGAGGGGUCCUUCCUGUCCACCAGGAGCACUUCCCUGAGAGAGCACAGCUGUGAGCUGACAGGACCCAGCAUGGGGGGAGGAUGGGUGAG